GGUUGAUCCUGCCAGUAGUCAUAUGCUUGUCUCAAAGAUUAAGCCAUGCAUGUCUAAGUAUAAGCAAUUAUACGGCGAAACUGCGAAUGGCUCAUUAAAUCAGUUAUCGUUUAUUUGAUAGCCCCUUACUACUUGGAUAACCGUGGUAAUUCUAGAGCUAAUACAUGCUGAAAACCCCGACUUCGGAAGGGAUGUAUUUAUUAGAUUAAAAACCAAUGCCCCUCGGGGCUCACUGGUGAUUCAUGAUAACUUAUCGAAUCGCACGGCCUUGCGCCGGCGAUGGCUCAUUCAAA
rnacentral:rRNA from 1 species